rnacentral:lncRNA from 1 species
CUUAAUUGUUGUGCAUCGAAAUUACUUGAUUCAUUCUUUCCCACAAGUCUUACUAGCAUAGAUCAACACUCAAAAUUGAUUUCUAUAUAGUAAAUAAGAAAUGUAAGUAGAGAAUACAAUGAUACUAUCUAUUACAGAAUUGUCUUAAUUAAGAUUUAAAUAAAAUAAAAUGUACUUCUUCGUCAGCUUCUUUCUCGCUAAACGUUGCACAAGCUUUAGAGUAUGAUGAAGAAAUAAAUUUUUUUACACACAAUAGAAAAAAAUUAACAAUAAAAGGAGACUGCAUGAGUUUGUGGUUUGUGAAGAGUAGAGUUUGCAUUUAUAUACUGUCAUACUAAUGCUAUUAUUAUGUGGUAAUGGUAAGCGGGUUGACUGAGUCAUGUAGAUGUAAUUUGAGGGGGGCGGGGGAAGAUUUUGUUUUGGGCUAGAUAAAAAAGUAGUGUAAAUCCCAAUAAUCAAUUCAAAUUUUUUUUAGCAGGUAAUCGGUUCGAUUUCUGAUCGACGGAGUAAAUACCAUACCUGCACCGCCACGAACCGGUUCAUUAAAAUAAAAACCAUAUCCGCCCCAUUGUACCAUCGGUUCGAUUUUUUUAGCUCCAUUCGAUUCGAUUAAACGCAGUUUUCGAUUUUGACGGUUCAAAUUGCCAUCUCUAGAUUCGCCACUGACCAAGACAACAUAGUUGAAGAGAAAGGUAAAGUUUACUUUGUAAAGGAAAUCUAGCCACUGCUUGAUCCCCAUUUUUGGAUAAAAUGUAUUAUAGAAUAGUGAUUUUUUUGAUAAUGUGUGGUUAAAAAGUAAUAAUUUUUUUUUAAAACAUGUGUAUAAUUAUUUUAUAGGAGAAUGUGUGGUUAAAAAUGAGAUUUGAAAAAAUGAAACUCAAAUAGGGCACUAAUAAUUCGUAUUCUUGAAGUCAAAUGUUGCAGGUCCUCUUCUCCACUUUUUUGUUUUCCUCCGACUUUUCAUUGGUAUGUAUGCAUGUAAUGUUUAUUGAAAACAGAGAUUGGUUAUAUUAUUUCCAUUUUCUUUUAUAAUAUCAACCCUGAUUAAUACCUCAUAUGCUACGACUGCAAGAUGUCUAAGCUAAAUUGCAAUUACAAAAUAUGAAAUAUUGUGCUAAGUACUAAACCUCUUACAAAAGCUAUAAAAGUUCUCUUGUUAAAAAUCAGAAAUGGAAUAUAAAAAUAUUAGAGAAUCGAUAUUGGUUAUUAUAUAUUCUUUUUGUUCAACAAAAUACCAUAAAUCCAGAUUCAUAUCCUUAGCUUCAUUAAUAAACUGCAGGAAAUUAGGUUGUUUAAAUUAAAUCUCGAUUUUAUUAAUCACAAAAUUUGAGGUAGUCCCUGAAAUUCUGGAAGGCACCUGUAACAUCAAACGCAUCUCACUUCGAGGAAGUCAACAAAAACUCAUGUCGCUAAAGUGCAAGCGAAGUGAAAUGGAUCAAAUACUAUUUAGUAAUAGGACAUGUGAAGAACGAAAUUGCAUUGUUUUUCAGUUGUGCAUAGAAACAAUUAGGAAAUACCACAUGGUUUAGCUCAUUAAAUAGAUACAAUAAAUUAUGACAUAUAAUCAGAACAAACAAAAAUGUUCUUUCUUUUUGCUGAGGGGAAAAAAAAAAAAAACCAAAAUCAAGAAAAUCAAUUGAAGCUGAAGAUUAAUCAAGAACGGUAAAACCAAACAAGCAUUCUUGACCAAACACCUACAGUCAUCAAUUAAUUCCAAAAGAUGAACAAAGAAGCUCAAUCUUGGAAGCUUACCGAAAGAUGUCUUGAAUAAGUAUAAUAACAUGGAAAUUAAUACAAAGACACAAAUUUUCACUUUUAAAAAUAACUAUCUUUGAUUUUGUUUUCAAAAUGUUUUUCUUAGUUAUAUAUUAACAAGAUACCAUAAUAUUAAUCUUUAUCACACGUAAAAAACAGAUGUUUGAAAUUUCUAUUAUUUUGAAUUUAUAGAAGAUAAGACGGCCCAAAAGUUUCGAGUUUUCGGAUUAUUACUUCCUUUAACCCACUCGCUUCCCUUCUUAACGUUUCAAUGUUAUAUCCCAAUUUCCCCACCCUUUUUCUUAAGAGUCGAGAUUGCUUUCGAUCUCAGAAUAUCCAUUUGUGUGGCCAUUCCUUCCUUUUGCUAGAUGAACAGCAGGGGAUUGUCACUAAAAAGCCAUAUGUCCCCCAUAAUUAUCUGCAGUUGCCUUUCUUAAUCUCUAAAUUUUCCUUCGGAAUUAAACAGAUCCUUGUUUGUAGAAUCGAGCAGUUAUUGCAGAUGGGAAGAACACAAUCGCUUGCUGAAUAUGUCAGCCCAAUUUUUGAGACAGAUGGAGAAUCCUCUCUAUUUUCAAAAGUCAAAUCCUAUGUUUUUAGAGAUAUAUUAUACAAACAGUGAAAAUACAUACACAACGACACGUAUAAAUCUACCAGUAAUUGGCUCAUCUCAACAAGAAAAAACUCACUUCAACUCCUUUUUAUGGCGUACACUACAAGGAUAAUAUGAUUAACAUAAGGUUGUGAAACCUAAUAACAAUCCCUUUUGGCGAAUUUUAAAAUUAUCAAAAAUCAAAUGACACAAAUAAAGAAUAGAAAGCAAUAUAUGGUAUGGAAAUACUUGAAUUAUAUAAAAUUAAUUGCUUUUGAAUUUCUUUGCUUUUGUUUUUUGUGGUGAUAAUGAAACAGUAUAGAUUUAAGUCAUAUAAAAGAUUUAAGAAGAAGAAUUAUGUUAUCUAGUUCUUACUGUUUUCAUUUUCUUACAGCCUGGCUUGCACGCUUGCAGAAUCCUCCAGAUAGGCUGCAAAGCAUAAAAAUUGAUGCUCACACAUCGAAGUGGAAGUUGCCACCGUUGCUAACUCUCAAAUUUUGCUAAACAUCACUCCAUAACCAAAUUUUGAAGAUUUGUUGAAAAUGAAAAUUAGAUCUAAAAACAAAGAGAAAACUAGAGACGAAAUGAAUAUUCCAGAAAGAGAAGGAACACUUAUCUUCUUUUAAUUACACAAAACGCCGUCGUCUAAAAAUUCAGCUUUAUAAGCUUAAUUAAACCCAGU